rnacentral:rRNA from 1 species
UACGAAGGGGGCUAGCGUUGCUCGGAAUCACUGGGCGUAAAGCGCACGUAGGCGGACUCUUAAGUCAGGGGUGAAAUCCUGGAGCUCAACUCCAGAACUGCCUUUGAUACUGGGAGCCUUGAGUUCGGGAGAGGUGAGUGGAACUGCGAGUGUAGAGGUGAAAUUCGUAGAUAUUCGCAAGAACACCAGUGGCGAAGGCGGCUCACUGGCCCGGUACUGACGCUGAGGUGCGAAAGCGUGGGGAGCAAACAGG